UCACAGCACAGCAGGCAGGAAGAAAGCAUGACAGUGUUUUGACACCUCAGAUUAGGAAACACUGAGAAAAUCUGCCACCAUGACAAGUAGUAGUGGAGUGAGAAAUGCUCAGUGUACACGUCAGGUAGGCAUCUUAAUCAAGUGCAGAUGUUCCUGUUAAAUAACGUUAGGUGUGGAUCCCUUUCUACCACACGCUGCUUGAAUCCAGAUCCCAUCCAGAAUGCAUCCGCAUAGGAUCAGUUCAAGACACAGGCAAAGUCCGAAAAACUUGAAACUUGAGUGCUAGAGCUGACUUAGAAGUGGAGCACCUUUAUCGGAAUGUCCUCCUGGUAUCCCCAAAUAUAAUAAACUGAAAACCAAAUUCA